AAUUUUGUCAAAUAACCGACUCAAUGGGCCUAUUCCAGCUUCUUUGUGUGAUGGACAAUCAAAAGAAUUGCUUGAGUUGAGAGUGGACAACAAUCCCGAUAUAUGUCUCUGUCAUAGUACAUGUCAAAUUGGCAGCGAAGGAAGGAAGCUUGCUACAGUCACCAUUGUGCUGAUCACUGUCAUCCUGGCGCUGAUUAUACUGCUGCUCCUAUCAUUGCUUUUAUUCUUCUUCUUGAGGAGAAAAAAAUCUACAACAAAAUUAUGUAAGUGGUUUUAAGCAAGUAAUAGCUUAUAAACAUACAAUUUUGUUUUAUAAUGUCCUUUUCUUCUUCAGCAAAAAGGCAAUGUUAGAAGUGAGAUAGAACUCUUCUUAGCUGUAUAAUAUCAGGACAUGUCUUCUCUGAUAUCAUAGAGAAAAGUAACUUCUUUUAUUGCUGAAAACUUCAACUUUGUCGUGCGCAUGCUUCAGGACUUCUUUCUCCACAUAUUAUAUGCUAAUGUUUGAGCAAUAUAAAACUUUUUGCAGAAUUUUGUCAAAUAACCGACUCAAUGGGCCUAUUCCAGCUUCUUUAUGUGAUGGACAAUCAAAAGGAUUGCUUGAGUUGAGGUUUGUGCUGUAGUCUAAUAUCCCAAAUCUUCCCACAAUUCCUUCUACCUAAGACUAAUACUAAUAUCUUAUGAACUUUAUGUUCUGCUAAGAGUGGACAACAAUCCGGAUAUAUGCCUAUGUCAUAGUACAUGUCAAAUUGGCAGCAAAGGAAGGAAGCUUGCUACAUUCACCAUUGUGCUGAUCGCUGCCGUCCCAGCGCUGAUUAUACUGCUGCUCCUAUCAUUGCUUUUAUUCUUCUUGAGGAGAAGAAAAUCUACAACAAAAUUAUCACCGCCAAUUCAAGACGCGCUUGCUAUACCCGAAACCCAUAGAUAUUUACAUAUGAUGAAUCGAAGGCCAUCACCAACAAUUUUGAUCUUGUACUUGGAAAGGGGGGGGUUUGGGAAUGUUUACUUACCAUGGUCGAUUGCAUGAUGGCACUGAAGCUGCAGUAAAACUUUUGCACUCACAUCGGAUGGUCAAAGGGACAUCAUCUGAGGAGUUUCAAGCCGAGGCUCUUCUCUUAUCGAGGGUCCAUCACAGGAACUUAGUGUCUUUGAUCGGGUACUGUAGAGACAGCAAUCAACUUGGACUUGUUUAUGAAUAUGCUGCUCGUGGAAGUCUUAGAGAUCAUCUUUCACGUAAAAAAGAUGUUGAAUAGUAUUUUAUGAUCUGAGCUACUGCAUGCUUGGAGAAGAUUGAAUCCAGUUUUAAGCUGCUUUACCCGAAAAUGUUGUAUCUUUGGACAAUAAAACUGGAAAUAGUCAAACAUUGAGUUGGGAGAGAACGAAUUCGGAUAGCAGUGGAAACCGCACAAGGUCUGGAGUAUCUACACAAGGGAUGUGUGCCACCUAUAAUCCAUAGAGAUGUGAAGACUAACAAUAUCAUCUUAGCACAUGACUUUGAGGCAAAGGUAGCAGAUUUUGAGCUGUCAAAGCCUUUCCUGACCGAUGCCCAGACUCACGUAUCUACUGAUGUUGUGGCUGGCACUCCAGGAUACAUGGAUCCCGAGUAUGUUUUCUACUUCACAGAAGUUUGCCAGAUAAUAUUUGCAGUGUGAAUUGCUCAGGAUUUCCUUGAUUGCCCCUCUACUGACAAGUCGGUUUAAUUUGUUUUAUAGAGAACUUAAGAACUACUUUGGCAACUAAAUGAAAAAGAGAAUGAUGGAGAAUCACAAUGAGAAGAAACAUAAAAAAAUGUUCUUUUUCCAAAUGUGAUGCAGAUUUCUUUCUUAGCUAACUUGCCAAUAGGAGAAUCACGAACAAUUGUUGCACCUUUCUGUGAUGGUUAUUUUUGCCCCUUUUAC